GAAGGGCUGUAGCUCAGUGGGAGAGCAUCUGCUUGACAUGUAGAAAGUCCCUGGUUCAAUCCCCAGCAUCUUCU
rnacentral:tRNA from 1 species